UGCUAGUAGGCAGUAGUUUUUUUACCGAGUUUUCGUGCUCCUUAAGCCUCCGCUGUUCCCAGUGGCCACGCUCGGGGCCUUGGGCGUUAUGCUGCACCGUGACAGACACUGACCUUACGAAACUCACUUUGGCGUAUAGCGAACACUGGCGCUCGUGCCUCGUAUCACGUCCACCACUUCUCUUUUGCACAAAGUUCUCGCGCCAAAUCGCAGACCACUGAUACCUUAUAGGAGCAGAAAAAUACUUUUGUAACCAUCUGUCCGACACCCACAUUCUUCUUUCCGUGAGGCAAUGCAUGCAGGAAGGGAUAACUUAAAAGUUCCCCCAUCCCUGAAUUUAGGCCUUUGCUACGGCACCAUAUUUGUGCAGUUUGAAUGCAUUAUAAGUUUCGGUAUCUUUUGAGUGGACCUGCCAUAAAAAGCAUCUAGUGUGUUCUAGAUUUAGCGCAACAUCUUUAGAAAUUCUUUUCUUUCCUAAUAUUCUUUUUUUUUUUCAGGAAGCUCGAGGCCUGCCAGAAGGUAUUUGCACUACUACGAUGGAGGGAACCAUUGCGGUGUGUUUGUGCUCACCAAAGACGGGAAACGUCACUGUGAGCUUCAUGUGUGGCCAAGUGGCAUAAUUACAGAGGACAAAUAUUAUUACGUGAACAAAUCUUGUAUUGUGCCCUAUCAUGACGUCUGCGGGGAAGAAAAGCCAACGGUCACCAUUUAUACCGGCGCCUGCACCAAGUGAGAACAGUGAGACUCCGAGCUUAUGAGUGGUUAUCGUCGAGCCUUUCAUUAAAGUUGAGAAAAAAAAUACGCAAAAUUAACACGUAUAUCUAUCUACUUGAUGAAAUAAAAUGUAAUUCUAAAUUCAAAUGUUUUGAACACUUGAUGCUAUUUCCGAUUCAAAGUUCUGUUGCUUUCUCUGGCUUCCUUAUUUUCUUGUGCCUGUUAAACUUUCUACCAUAAAAAAAAAAAAGAAA